CAAAAACAUGUUUUUUUGAUUAUAAUUUAAAGUCUAACCUGCCCAAUGAGGAGUUAAAUGGCCGCGGUAUUUUGACCGUGCAAAGGUAGCAUAAUCAUUAGUUUUUUAAUUGAAAGCUGGUAUGAAUGGUUGGACGAGAAAAUAACUGUCUCGAUUUAAAUUAAAUUAGAAUUUUAUUUAUGAGUAAAAAAGCUCAUAUGAGUUUAAAAGACGAGAAGACCCUAUAGAAUUUAAUAUAUCUAUAUAUAUAUUAUUUUUAGAAUUAAUAAUAAGUUAUAUAUAAUUAUAUUUUGUUGGGGUGAUAGAAAAAUUAAAUUAACUUUUUUUAUAUAAAAACAUUAAUGUAUGAAAAAAUGAUCCGUUAAUUACGAUUAUAAGAUUAAAUUACCUUAGGGAUAACAGCGUAAUUUUUUUUUAGAGUUCUUAUCGAAAAAAGAGUUUGCGACCUCGAUGUUGGAUUAAAAUUAACUUUUGGUGUAGGGGCU
rnacentral:rRNA from 1 species